GACGAACGCUGGCGGCGUGCUUAACACAUGCAAGUCGAACGGAAAGGCCCUGCUUUUGUGGGGUGCUCGAGUGGCGAACGGGUGAGUAACACGUGAGUAACCUGCCCUUGACUUUGGGAUAACUUCAGGAAACUGGGGCUAAUACCGGAUAGGAGCUCCUGCUGCAUGGGGGGGGUUGGAAAGUUUCGGCGGUUGGGGAUGGACUCGCGGCUUAUCAGCUUGUUGGUGGGGUAGUGGCUUACCAAGGCUUUGACGGGUAGCCGGCCUGAGAGGGUGACCGGCCACAUUGGGACUGAGAUACGGCCCAGACUCCUACGGGAGGCAGCAGUGGGGAAUAUUGCACAAUGGGCGGAAGCCUGAUGCAGCAACGCCGCGUGCGGGAUGACGGCCUUCGGGUUGUAAACCGCUUUCGCCUGUGACGAGGCGUGAGUGACGGUAAUGGGUAAAGAAGCACCGGCUAACUACGUG
rnacentral:rRNA from 1 species